CGAGGAACUCGAAUGUUACACGUGGAUAUCGCUCGGCUGCGACACGCGCACGAGGUCUCGGCUUCCGUCAUCAUCGAGGGCUGACGGGAAUAAUCGCGUCCUUUCGUGUCUCUCGCCGAGUGCCGCGAAAAACGACAAUGCCUGACGAGUCUGCGUCCCGUUGACUGAGAGCGGAGUUCAGCAACUCCAUCCGGGAUUAUACUCCCGACGAGAGCGAGAGCAAUAGAAGAAGAGGGAGGGGGAGAUAAUCCCUGGAAUUUUCUCACGCGGAAAAUUCGCAUGUGGAAGUGGGACGUCGUGCGGGCCAGUGAUUAAUCGCAACGCAAAACGGAGGGAGGCCCGGCUUCGGAAGUUCGACCGUGCGAAGGGAUCUCCGAAGAGAGCACGGACGUGACUCGAAUCUCGAUAGAGUCUCGAGACCGACGAGCUUCGGCCGCAUCAGUGAAUUUCCGGUUGCGCGUUGGCGUGUGCUGGUGACAGAGAGAAAUCGGUCUUUAAGUAUCCCCAACACACCGCGAGGCAGGAGUGCCCAGACGACUGAAGGAUCACAUUUAAUAAGAGUGCCAUCAACGGCGAUAUUUUAGCGACUAAUGCGCCGCGCGGGCAGCCUCACGCGGUGUAGAGAUACGGUUUAUCGGUAAUUCAAUUCACAUCGGAGAUACGCGAUUUCUUUUUUAUUGUCGGGAUGGCGGGCAAUUUUUCCAAACGGCUUCUGUUACGCGCGUAGGGUUGAAACUUUACGGAGGGGCACACGAGAAAGAAAGAGAGAGAGAAACAUAACUCCCAUCCGGAUCGCGCGGAUUUCACGCGGGAGUGUGCGUCGAUGUGUCCAAGUAUUUUGUCCGUUCAUGUGCUCACAUGUCAAGUGUCCGAUCAUUGAACAUCCUUGACAGAGGACUUAGUCGCGAGUUAGUGCGCACUUGGGGCUGAUGCUCGUGUCUCCCCAACUGGAACAACGUGGAGGAUACGCGGGCUUAACCGGAUAUGAACAACGGGAGACCCGCUUGACGGCUACCCGGAACAUUUUCAUAGAACUCGCGUCACGAGGAUUCCGCGUUUCUGCAAAUUAAUUUUCAGAACGAGGGAAAAUGUCGGCCGAGGUGAGGGCUCGUCGACCCACCAUGCCGACGAUUCCGCAUUCCAAGAGGCCCACGAUCCUGGUGUACCCGACGGUUACGCCGGAGAGUAUAAUCAUACCCAUCGUAUCCUGCAUUCUGGGGUUUCCAUUGCUGGCGUUAAUGGUAAUUUGCUGCCUACGGAGGCGAGCGAAACUCGCCAGGGAGCGAGCCAGACGAAGAAACUGUGAUUUGGAUCAUGGCGCACUGAGCCUCGUCCGUUUCAGCCCGGUUCAUCGUGUGGCAUCGAGAGAGGACUUAGCCGGUGUGGAUCGCCAAACGCGCACCGUAUCCUUGCGAAGCGAGCGAGGAUCGCGAGCCUUUCCGUCCCUGGAGCUGGAUACGGUCGUCGAAGAACGUUCGGAUCCUGAACAAAGUACCGCGCUGGAGCUCAGCAGUCCAGAUUAGCAUUCAGCCCCGGCACCGAGGUGAUGGCGCCAGUCGUAACGUAUUAUCACCGACGCGAUAUUACUAAAGACUGUCAGCCCUGGGUAAAUUUUCGACCCGGCCAAAGGGCCCGGAGGGGCUCGGAGGUCGCCACGACCAUCCAAAUCCUUGGCGGUGCCAUUGCCUGUGGAUCACAGUCCAUUAUGGACAGCUUUGACGCACGCUAACGCGGUCUCUGCGGCGUUAGGAGACACCUAGCAGGAGGUGGAAGACGGCAGCUAUAUCGAAGCUCUCGUCCUAGAUCUGCCAAUCAUCUACUGACCGGCCAUUCCUUCCGAAAACGGAGACUGAAAUAGGAGCAUCGGAGGAAGACCGGACAGCUCGUUCAACACUACCACGCGCGAGAACAAUCGCGUGAUUAAUACUUAAUAUCUCGUGAAGAGAAUUUCCGUGAAUGAAAUAAAUAAAACAUUUACAUGUGACAUCGAAAAGAUACAAUAUUGUGCGCUUUUAGCGCGUAUUCAAUGUGCCGCUGCAACGCACGUGAAAUUUUGUACUACUUACUAUUCGCGAGCACGGCUUUUUACACGAUAGUCAUAAUCCCGAACGUACGCAGCCGUAGGAAGUAGCUGGUCUACGAUACGAGUGUGUCAAUGUGAAUAUAUAAAUUCGUUCGUGUACAAACGGAAAUUGAAAUUAUACAAAUAAAGUAUUAUUCGUGUCUGUAUUAUAUACAGGGCGACAUUGU